rnacentral:lncRNA from 1 species
GGACAUCCAGGAGGUCAUCGUCACCGGCGUCAUGACCAACUUGUGCUGCGAGACGACGGCGCGUGAGGCGUUCGUCAGGGGGUUCAGAGUGUUCUUUUCUACGGACGCGACUGCCACUUCGGAUGAAGAGUUGCACGAGGCCACCUUGAAGAACUUGGCCUAUGGCUUUGCCUACCUCGUCGAUUGCAACACAUUUGAUCAGCUUCCCUUUCACUAGUUUCUUCUGUUUUUUUUCAUGUCUCAGACUCUCAGCGCCUUCCUCUUACUCUGCAACGCUUUUGUUCUCUAACGGAGCAGAAAAGGUCAACGCCUUUCUCUCAGUCUGCAACGCUUCAUUCUCUAUCACAACGAUCGGGGUUUCUUCUUCAAGCGAGCUGGGUUGUGAUCUCUUUAUUGAAGAGCUGAAUAGUUUGGGUAAUUUUCUUUUAUCAUAAUCUUCAAAUUGAUUUCUCGAUUGUGGCUUCUGUGUUUGUUUUGGAUGGGUUGUCGUUACCAAUUGGUCUUCAAUUUCUCUCUUCCUCCAUCAUUACCAACUGGGCUCUCCUUAUCAUUCUCCUUAUUGUUGGUUUGGUUCUCUUACAUCGUUGGUUUGUUUUCGACAAGAAUAUUUCUGAGUAUGAUUUCGUGUUGAGUUUUAGAUCUGGGAGCGCAUGGAUUAAGGUCGCGUUUGAUCAUCCUUGCAGGAGAGAAAGCUCAAGGUUUCUGGACAUGUACUUCACUUUAUCAAAAUAUUUCUUCAAAAUCAAACGCCCAAAACUUUUUUGCGAUUGAUUUUCUCUCUGUUUUGUGUUGAUUUGUUUGGAUUUUGGUAAAGGUGGGCGAUUGAAGUGAACUAGCUCCAGGGACUGUAUGCCAAUGGAUAAAUUUCGUUAUCGGGUUAUCCUGGUGAUAAUUGCUGCAUAACAGAAAAAUUCGAACAUGGUUUCUUUGUUUGUACGCAUUCAUGUAUUAUUUGUUGUUCAUUGAUUCCCCUAAAUGUAUGUUGUGAAAUCGCAAAAUAGUCACUCCAACAACUGGAAAAUAAAAUAUGAAAUUUACUUUAAACAUUUUAGUGUUAAUCUUUUAUUUAUUUAUUAUUAUUUGCUUUGUUUUAGUGUUAAUCUUUACAGUCAUUUCAUUGCUAAGAUGUCCAGACGUUGGUCUUCGCAUUGGUCUUCCCCAAGUGUACUACAUUUUUUCAUCAUGAAAGCUGUAAGGAAGUAACAAAGGCAUACAAGCCUAGCUAAAUCCUUCAUCUUGAAUCAGCAUUAUGUGUUGCACGUAACAUUAACACCCAAGCGAUGUUCAAACUCUUUCAACAAUGUAUGUUCGGGGGAAACAUUGAUUAAUAUAGGAACAAUGCGUGCCAUAUUCACAUGUGGCCUGUGAAUCAGUGCAUAUAUAUACUAACUAAUAUAUUUCAUGUAUUGAUUGCAUGUGAGGAGAGAAACCUUGGACUGUAAAUGUUAGGAUCAUAUGUUGAGCAAAGAGCUUAGCUCCCCGAGUUUCAUUGAUUUUACUGUAACUGGAAGAUUUCCUCUGUGUCCUAAUCAUUUUGAAAUUGAAAGCAGGCCAUUUGAACUCUCCUGGAAGCCUUGAUAUCUAGAUUCUGAUGGCAGUUGAUAAGAACAUUUUUGUGUUGUUGAUAUAUGAAUGAAAUAGUGUAAUGUGCUAUUUUUCUGAUAGGUUUUUGAUCAGGUUCUUUUGCUUAUGUAGAAAGCAUGGGCUUGGAAAUGGACUAUUUCAGAUGUUCUUAUCAAAAUAUUUGGUGAUUUUCUUCUUCUCUUCUUAGGACUUAUGCAUAUAUCAACAGAGGUAAAAAGGUUUCUCUUGAUGUUAUUUGAUUUCCUUUUCUUCUUUUUUCUCUUCUAUAGAAUCAUGACAUGAUUACUGUACUCUAUUAGCCAUUUUAGCAUGGUCUUUAUAGGCACUUAGCCGGUUAGCCGUUUACUGUCAUAUAUAUUUGGAAAAGAUAAGUUAUGGAUGUCUUAUUAGCUGGUUUAUCUAGAGGGCAUAAACAGUCUACAUAUUUGAAUUCACCAUGUUAGGGCUUUAUAUACAUGUUUGGACUAUUGAUCCUAGACUUCUAAGAUCUGAUUAAUUCAUUUAGAGAAACUGGGAAUAGCAAGAUGCUAAAACAGUUUCUAAGGUGAGACUUCUAGGACUAAAACUAUAUGUAUCAUAAUUUGAACUUAUUCCACUACGUAGUGCCAAAAAGUGGAUUUCCACUUCAUCAUUUCUUAUGUGUGAUCAUAUUGGCAUUUUCCUAUUGAUAUGUCUAGCUACACAUUUAUCAAUCUACCUGCUGUAAUAUUAUUUCUACAUUAAGCGAUUUUACGUUUCUUUGAUAUGAAUAAGCUUUAAUCAAAUUUUCCUUAUUCAAUAUUCUCAGGUGUUACUGAAGUUCUUGAGGACGUUGCUGGUGGCAUUUCUGUCGAUAAAUUUUAGGUCUACAUGUUUCCUGCAAUGCUUAAUGUGUUGAUACAAUAGUUUUGUAUGUGGGUCUCAUUGUUUCUUGCAAUGGUUGAUGUGUUGAUACAAUAGAUUUGUACAGAUUUGUAUAGUUUUAUGAACUGCAGUAACUCAAACAAUAUUAGAGAAAGGAAACUAUGUCUUAUUUUAUCAUCUUGGUUAAGAAUUAAGUCAUUUUCAUUCACAUCGGUCAUAAUCAUAAAACUAUUGUAAAAUAUUAGCAAUGCACAAGAAACACCCGUGGCCUCUAUGUUUGCAGGUAGAAAUAGUUAUGUAAUUGGGAGUUAUAUAUUCGAGUAGGAUGUUAGUUGAUGCAUAUUGUCAACUACUUGCAUAUAGCUGUAAAUACUCACCUUUGCUCCAUCACACAGACCUCCCCUUCUCACUCCUUGCAUAUAGUCUUUCUUCUUGCUUUUAGUUUCACACCAACAAUUUGAUAUGGUUCAUGGUUGGUAAUAAUAUGUGACUAUUUGAUGUAGUUUAGAUUGUUGUUGCAGGUUGUCCAUGGCAUAACUCAGACGUGUAUUGUUCGGCAUAGAGAAAGAAGAGGAAGUCUGAAUUUGGGAAAAAAAAUAGAGCUGGGAAAGCAUUUAUGAGGUCCAGGUUAGUACUAUUCUUUUUGAAUGCUUUCAUUUUUGGAUGUCAUUAGCUGCUAAUCAAAUUAGUGACCAACGCCUAAAAGUUUACUUGGUAUCACAGAUUCACAGAUGACAAUAAGCCAAGUAUCAAGACUUCUUUAGCCUACUGACAAGUUUUAAUCAAUAUUGAUUACCUGGAAUACUUCAUUAGUUUUUUUUAUGAAAUAUGCAAGAUGCAUUUAAAGAUAUGAAUAGUAAAUACCUUUUGAUAGGAUGCAUAUCAACAUUGAUUUUUCAACUUGCCUAUGGUCUUGAUGUUCAAUAUUUUCGUCUGAGUUUUUGCAAUCUACUUCUUUCAUUUGCACAGGGUAUCAAAUGCCACAGUUCAGUGUGAGCAAGAGGACACAAAAGCAUUGGUAAGUUUCUGAUUUUUCAAAGCAUUGGUGAGCAUUGGACUAAAAAGCAUCUAUUCCUUUCACUUGAUCUGUUGCUGAUUUAUUUAUUUAAUUUUUUUUUUGCAUGUAAAUUCUACUAUACGAGUGUUGUGGGUAAUAAUUAAGUGUUAAUGUGGUUACAGCUAGAGAAGACUUAUCAGAAUGAAGAUCAACUAACAUUUGCAAGCCUAUUGAAUAAAGACUUGAAGAUGAGUUGAGAGGACUGCAUAAAGAGCUGAUUCAGUUUAUAUCGGUAUAUUUUCGUUACGUCUUUUCUACAUCUAUCCUUUGUUGUUGCUAACGUGCCCGUUUAGAAGAAAAGUAUAGAUACAUAAUGAGUGAGGACUUGAAGAUAAGGAGGGAGGAGUAAGAAAAGAGCUUGAGAGUGAAAAGGUAGAUGUGAGAAUUUUCCUUUUACCUUUUACGAUGUAAAUGUUUGACUCUGCUAACAGAGUUGUGCAUAUGGUGUUAUUUAGUUUAGCAUAGUCAUAUGUGGUUUAGGUGAACUGCAAAUUCUUUAGGGAAGGUAGCCAGGAAUUAGAGCAAUUGGAAUUUGAAGAGUUGUGUACGUGUGCUAUGUACUUGGAGGAGUAUUAGAUGAGGAAUUAAUAGACAUGAAAAUAGCUACUUUACUGCAGUUUCAUUUUUCAGGCAUGACAAUUGGUAGAGUAUUCUACAUAAUUAAUUUCAGGAUCUGCAUAAAGUUGAUGUGGAUUUUGUAGUAAUUCUAUUUUGUUACUGAUGUUUUUUUCUUUUUCUUUUUCACAGAUUAUGGUGAGAGUGAGGUACUACAUUGUAUAACUGAUUUGGAAUCAGGCAAAACACAUUUAGGGGAGUGCAAUUCUUUUGAGUUCAGGUGUGUAACUUUUUUUUUUUCUGAACGACUCCUUACUUUUUAGGAAUAGAUAUAGUAUAAUUUGUUUGCUACGGUUUUCUACUGUUUGUUUACAGAUUGGUAAUUUAUUUUGGUGUUGUCAAAAGUAUUUGCAGUGUUUUUGGCAUUUAGAUUAUACAAGUAGUUCUAAGUUUUGUGUGUUUUAUCUUUAUACUUUUGUUGGGGCAUAGAUUAACACUUCGUGAACAAGCUGAAUUGCAAGAUAAAAGGAUUUGUAGAUUUCAAUUAUGGUUUACAAGUCUGAAGUCUAGGAAAGUAUAGAGGUUAGUACCCCCAUUCGUUUCUUGGCUUGAUCUGAUUUUGGAGGGCAGACUAAUGACUACUAGGUAGUAUCUUCAUUAAGUUGAAUAUGCGUCUGCUUUUUCUUUUUUCCCACUUAUUUCUAUUACAAUAUGAUAUGUGAUAGACCGAAGACUACAUGAAUAGAAUAUUUCUUUCAGUACCUAUGAUCUCUAUUGUUCUAUUAAAUUCCAUCUCAAAGCAUCUUCAUUUCAAAACAGUAAUGGAACUAGCAAGAAAAUAAUGAACUAUUACUAUGACAAUCAAAAGACUAAAGUUAAUAACGUAACUUACCCAUCAAUUUUUAGUUCAACAAAGUUACUAGAUUUUACUGUUUUUGCAAAUUGUCUGGCUUAUUUGUCUUUCAAAUUUAAUUAAACUGAUGUGGAAUAGCUUCUUAGGCAUGUGAGUUGUAAAAGGAUGAGUUUUUCUUGCUUGCCUAUCUGAAAUGUUUAUGUGGAUAGUAAGUUAAUAUCCGUGCAGAUAAAAUCCAUAUUAACUUUCUGAUUGCAAUUGAUUUUGUGCCAUAAUUGAAUUGCUUUAUCCCAUGUAUCUACAAAUUCUGAUAUGAUUUUAAAUAUUAUAGGUCAAUAUGAAUGUGAUUCUUUGCUUCUAUGCACAUGUGUUUUGCCAUAGAAAAAUACAGCCACCUGAUUGACAAAUAAAAUGAAUAAGUAGUAUAGAACUCUCUUGGGAACCUAUUGUUACAAUGUUGUUGACCUCUUUGCACCUCUAAAAAGUAGCAUAGAAUCGAAGUAUAUUUCUGUCUUUACAGGGACACCGACUCAGUCGCGAACCGUGAAUGUGAUUUAAACCAACAUAACUUAUGUAGCCCAUCUUUUGAUCAAGCAUGACCAUUUUGUACCGUGUAUAUAACUUCCAAAUUUGGCUAACACUAGAUUUUGGGACAAGUCAAACAAUGUAUAUUAUAUAAUAUGUUAUUUUCCUUACAAUGCCGUUCUGAACUAUGAAGAUCUAAUAUUUCUCUAAUUUCAUAAGAUUUAACAAUGUAGAUGAUAUAUUUACCAAUUGACUGUUCUCUACAAUUGUUGUUCAAGGUAAUGUACAUUAGUCAACCAAAAAGGACUUAUAAAAUAUGUUUAUAUGGUUGAACUAACCCUGUAAAUGAUCCUCAAAUGCAGACCAACUCACUCUGUAAAUGAUCCUAAAACAAAUGUCGCAUUUUAACGUGGAUUACCCGCAGCAACGCGCGGGUUGCUGGCUAGUACGACAUUAUCGAUGAUCUAUUCCUAUUCCUAUUCCUAUUUCUAAACCAAGUGCAAUGCAGCUCGCUCUCCUUGCCUCCACAAAAGCAAAGUCAAGAGUCAAUCAUUGAUUCCAUCACAAUUUAAGCCUAGCUUGUUCACAAACUCGUAGGAAAUCUCCAGAAGGCUCACGACCUUUCCCCGAGUGCACGAGGACCACUCAUUAUUCCGCCAUUAUUACAUUGAACUUGUCAUGCAGUGGGAGGGUAAGUAAGGGAUUUCACAAACCACACUUGCUUAUAUGAUGUUGAUGAAACAGCGAACAAGAACAGAAGGAGGUUUGGAACUCAAAAUAUGAAAUCGAUGGCUUCCUCGAUCAGAAAAAGAAACCCGAACCCAAAAGCGGCUGUCCUCUUAGUGAUCGACAUGCAGAACUACUUCUCUAUCUUGGCGAAGCCCAAUCCUCCAAAACCUCCUAACCACCAUCCGCCUCUGCCGACGCGCCUCCAUCCCCGUCAUCUUCGCGCGCCACUGCCAAAAGUCCCCCUCCGACUACGGCAUGCUGGACGAGUGGUGGAACGGCGACCUCAUCUUGGACGGGACCCCCGAGUCCCAGCUGAUGCCGGAGCUCGACGACGUCAGGGCCCACCAGGACCACGUCGUCGACAAGAACACUUACAGCGCCUUCCGCGGCACCGGCCUCGAGGAGUACCUGAAGGAGAGGGGCAUCGAGGAGGUCAUCGUCACCGGCGUCAUGACCAACUUGUGCUGCGAGACGACGGCGCGUGACGCGUUCGUCAGGGGGUUCAGAGUGUUCUUUUCUACGGACGCGACUGCCACGGAGAAUGAAGAGCUGCAAGAGGCCACCUUGAAGAACUUGGCCUAUGGCUUUGCCUACCUCGUCGAUUGCAGCACAUUUGAUCAGCUUCCCUUUCAUUAGUUUCUUCUGCAAUUUGAGUUUAAAGUUUCGUUCUUUGUGUAUCAAUGUGUGUGGGGGUGUGAGUGUUGGUGUUCCUUUCUG